rnacentral:lncRNA from 1 species
GGCCCUGCUCUUGGUCCAGAAUCUUCCUAACUUUCUGACUUUAUCCCUGGCCUCGCUUCUCACGCUCACUCCUCUCAGGAGCACCUGCUCCCUUGCGCACAUUCACACGCCCUCAGGUGCCCUCACUGGGACGUCCCCCAGAUGUCCCUGUUCCCUGUGUCUUAGCUCAGCUGUGACUUCACAGAGUGGCUUUCUCUGAUUGCCUGGGAUGUCCCCCUCGCUCAUUCACUCUCCUUCUAUCCCUCAUGCCAAUUACAUUCCCGCUUGGCCACGCCGGUCCUCCGCCCUUCUCCACUUGCUCUGUGCCCCGGGACGCCGACCUCACGCAGGCUCCCUGUCCUCAGCUCCCCCUGGAUUCUGCCCGGUGAGCACUGGCCGGAAGUUGAGGACAGGAUCAGAGAGAGCUGGGACGUGGAUGUCUCGCCUCCUCCGUGCUGGGCUGUGGCAAUCCUCAACAUCCACAGCUCCUCGAUGUCCAGCCACGUGGCACAGAGGCCCGUGUGGUGAAGGAGUGAAGCCUCUGCCGACAGCCACGUGAGUGAGUCUUCUCCAACUCCUGCCAGCCUUUGAAGACUGCAGCCCCAGGGCACGACUUCCCCGCAGCCUCCUGGAGAUCCUGAGCCAGAAACCCCAGCUAGCUGCUCCCAGAAUCCUGACCCUCAAAAACCGUGCGAGGUGGCAGAUGUGUGUUGCUUGAAGCUACUAAACUUGGGGUGGGGUGGGAGUAGGUAUUUGUUUCACGGCAACAGGUGACCGAUACGUGGCCCUAACUUGGUUUACCUUCCUGUAUCUCUGAACGUAGCCCUUGUGCCAAACCCGCCGAGCCUGUGAUCGAGCACGUACCGCCUCCUGCAACGAUCUGGAAACGUCCAGCCCACCUCCCCGCUGAGCCUGGCAAGACAAGAUUCCAUCUUCUGUCCCAGCCUCGGCCCCAGGCCUGACCCAGGAGGGGGGCGGGGCUUUUCAGAGCUUGAUCCCAAGGUCACCUUGAGCUUUGCCCUUCCCCAGUCCCAACGCUGUUGCCCGUUGGCUUUCCUGCAGCUUUGAAUACAAGGAGGCCAGAGACCCGGG